UAUGAAGAAUGUUGGUAAUCAAGAGUCUUAUUUGAACAUUCAUAAUGUACUUCCCAAGUCAUUACAUGGCACAAAAGACCCACGUGCUAAUCACAUGGCAGCAAAAAUUAGGCUGAGAGAAGAUGAAGCUGGAGCUCAAAAAUUGAAUUCUCACCAUGUUUGUGAUGCAGAAGUUAGAGAGCUCCAUCGGAAACCAUCUAAUGAAAGUGGCAGUCAAUUGAGAUCUAUAUUAAAAAGGAAAGACAACAAAUCAGAUUCCAAGUGGCAUAAACGUGUCAGGUUUGACCCUGGCUGUAAAACUGUAUGCAAGAAAGAAGCAUCCCAAAAAAUUCAAGCCAUUUCUGUGGGCAGUUCUUCACUGAACUGUAUGAUUUCAGAUGAUGAACGCAUGUCAAGCCAGAACAGAUAUGGCAUUCCAGAUUAUUUACAGAAUCCAUUUAAAUAUACCAAUUACAGUUUUAAUUCAUCUAGUGAAGUUGAAGAGAAAUCCAGUACCCAGGCUUGCAUGGAUUUUGUUAAGUUGGU
rnacentral:misc_RNA from 1 species